rnacentral:rRNA from 1 species
AGCGCAGCUUACACAUGCAAGUCGAGCGGAGUUUUGGUGCUUGCACCAAGACUUAGCGGCGGACGGGUGAGUAAUGCUUAGGAAUCUGCCUAUUAGUGGGGGACAACGUUUCGAAAGGAACGCUAAUACCGCAUACGUCCUACGGGAGAAAGCAGGGGAUCUUCGGACCUUGCGCUAAUAGAUGAGCCUAAGUCGGAUUAGCUAGUUGGUGGGGUAAAGGCCUACCAAGGCGACGAUCUGUAGCGGGUCUGAGAGGAUGAUCCGCCACACUGGGACUGAGACACGGCCCAGACUCCUACGGGAGGCAGCAGUGGGGAAUAUUGGACAAUGGGCGGAAGCCUGAUCCAGCCAUGCCGCGUGUGUGAAGAAGGCCUUUUGGUUGUAAAGCACUUUAAGCGAGGAGGAGGAGCUCUAGGUUAAUACCCUAGAAGCUUGGACGUUACUCGCAGAAUAAGCACCGGCUAACUCUGUGCCAGCAGCCGCGGUAAUACAGAGGGUGCAAGCGUUAAUCGGAUUUACUGGGCGUAAAGCGCGCGUAGGCGGCUAAUUAAGUCAAAUGUGAAAUCCCCGAGCUUAACUUGGGAAUUGCAUUCGAUACUGGUUAGCUAGAGUGUGGGAGAGGAUGGUAGAAUUCCAGGUGUAGCGGUGAAAUGCGUAGAGAUCUGGAGGAAUACCGAUGGCGAAGGCAGCCAUCUGGCCUAACACUGACGCUGAGGUGCGAAAGCAUGGGGAGCAAACAGGAUUAGAUACCCUGGUAGUCCAUGCCGUAAACGAUGUCUACUAGCCGUUGGGGCCUUU